AGAGUUUGAUCCUGGCUCAGGGUAAACGCUGGCGGCGUGCCUAAAACAUGCAAGUCGAACGGGCAGUCUCUUCGGAGGCUGUCAGUGGCAGACGGCUGAGUAACGCGUGGGUGACGUACCCGUUGGUGGGGAAUAACUGCCCGAAAGGGUGGCUAAGACCGCAUACGCCUGUAGCCGCGUGGUUACAGGGAAAGUCGCAA
rnacentral:rRNA from 1 species